AUUGAACGCUGGCGGCGGGCCUAACACAUGCAAGUCGAACGAGUGGCGGACGGGUGAGUAAUGUCUGGGAAACUGCCCGAUGGAGGGGGAUAACUACUGGAAACGGUAGCUAAUACCGCAUACCAUCGGAUUUGCCCAGAUGGGAUUAGCUGGUAGGUGGGGUAACGGCUCACCUAGGCGACGAUCCCUAGCUGGUCUGAGAGGAUGACCAGCCACAUUGGAACUGAGAAACGGCCCAGACUCCUACGGGAGGCAGCAGGGGGGAAUAUUGGACAAUGGGGGAAAGCCGGCGGCAGCAAUGCCGCGGGGAUGAAGAAGGCCUUGGGGUUGUAAAGUACGUUCAGCGAGGAGGCGUUACCCGCAGAAGAAGCCCCGGCUAACUACGUGCCAGCAGCCGCGGUAAUUC
rnacentral:rRNA from 1 species